AUACGUAGGGUGCGAGCGUUGUCCGGAAUUACUGGGCGUAAAGAGCUCGUAGGUGGUUUGUCGCGUCGUCUGUGAAAUUCCGGGGCUUAACUCCGGGCGUGCAGGCGAUACGGGCAUAACUUGAGUACUGUAGGGGAGACUGGAAUUCCUGGUGUAGCGGUGAAAUGCGCAGAUAUCAGGAGGAACACCGGUGGCGAAGGCGGGUCUCUGGGCAGUAACUGACGCUGAGGAGGGAAAGCAUGGGUAGCGAACAGGAUUAGAUACCCUGGUAGUCCAGGCCGUAAACGGUGGGCGCUAGGUGUAGGGGUCUUCCACGACUUCUGUGCCGUAGCUAACGCAUUAAGCGCCCCGCCUGGGGAGUACGGCCGCAAGGCUAAAACUCAAAUGAAUUGACGGGG
rnacentral:rRNA from 1 species